rnacentral:lncRNA from 1 species
GCUGCAGCGGCGGCGGGCACUGUGAGGCCGAGGUGGCUGCCAGCCGGCCAAUGUCUAAGCGAGGCCAGCGGCCCAGGCGGCCCGAGCCUGAGGGGAGCGCGCAGCCGGCCAGUGGCGGCCUCGCCGGCGGCCUCUUCUCGGGCUCGCAGUGGGCCCGAGUCGUCGCCGGGAGCUCCCGGGAGCAGCGUCCCCGCCCUGCUCCCCUCGCUCCCGCCUCUUGCGGCCCCACGGCCCCUCAGCGCCCGCCCCCGGCUCCGCCCGCCGCAGCCGCAGCCCCUGGCGCUAACGGUCGGUAACGGCCCGCGCGCGCCGCCCGCCGGGGGCUCGCGCCAGCCACGAGGGAGCGUCCGCGGCCCGCGCGCCCGCGCGGCGGAGGAGAGGUGAUAAAUGUGAUGCUUCUAUAAUACAUUUGGAUGUUGUCAGCUAAGUUCACUUAGGAACUAAGGGGUUCCUCCAAAUGUUGGCUGAAAUUUGUCCUUGCACAUCCCAAGGCUCGUCUGCAAGUGAGUGUCUGCACACAGUUUGCUUAUGUGUGGAGUCAAUCCAAAAUAGCAUCAAUGUUGGUUUUACCAAAGUGUUUAUAUUGAUAAUAGAGGCUAAGUACAAAAUAUAGAGAAUGUCAGCUACUUGAGGCCUUUGAUUAUUAAAAAUUUUUAUUAAUGCAUUAUACAAGAGUACAGUAAAUAGAAAAAUUUUAGGUUCAUGAAAUAAAACUGAAUAAUUUACUUUUACUUACUAUUUAUCA